GACGAACGCUGGCGGCGUGCUUAACACAUGCAAGUCGAACGGAAAGGCCCUGCUCUUGUGGGUUGCUCGAUUGGCGAACGGGUGUGUAACACGUGAGUAUCCUGCCCCUGACUUUGGGAUAACUUCAGGAAACUGGGGCUAAUACCCCAUAUGAGCUCCUGCUGCAUGGUGGGGGUUGGAAAGUUUCGGCGGUUGGGGAUGGACUCGCGGCUUACCAGCUUGUUGGGCGGGUAGUGGCUUACCAAGGCUUUGACGGGUAGCCGGCCUGAGAGCGUGGCCGGCCACAUUGGGACUGAGAUACGGCCCAGACGCCUACGGGAGGCAGCAGUGGGGAAUAUUGCACAAUGGGCGGAAGCCUGAUGCAGCAACGCCGCGUGCGGGAUGACGGCCUUCGGGUUAUAAACCGCUUUCGACGGAGACGAAGCGUGAGUGACGGUAAUGGGUAAAGAAGCACCGGCUAACUACGUG
rnacentral:rRNA from 1 species